CCUACGGGUGGCAGCAGUGGGGAAUCUUAGACAAUGGGGGAAACCCUGAUCUAGCCAUGCCGCGUGAGUGAUGAAGGCCCUAGGGUCGUAAAGCUCUUUCGCCAGGGAUGAUAAUGACAGUACCUGGUAAAGAAACCCCGGCUAACUCCGUGCCAGCAGCCGCGGUAAUACGGAGGGGGUUAGCGUUGUUCGGAAUUACUGGGCGUAAAGCGCGCGUAGGCGGAUUAGAAAGUUGGGGGUGAAAUCCCGGGGCUCAACCCCGGAACUGCCUCCAAAACUACUAGUCUAGAGUUCGAGAGAGGUGAGUGGAAUUCCGAGUGUAGAGGUGAAAUUCGUAGAUAUUCGGAGGAACACCAGUGGCGAAGGCGGCUCACUGGCUCGAUACUGACGCUGAGGUGCGAAAGUGUGGGGAGCAAACAGGAUUAGAUACCCGAGUAGUC
rnacentral:rRNA from 1 species